UUUAAAUCUAACUUGUACAAAGAUUGAAACGAGAUGUAAUUGGACAAUUUUAAUAUUUACUCAAGAAUAGAGUAGGCUAUGUUAAUACAAGGAAACGAUAACUUGCACAGUACAGUUGAAAGAAGGCAAUAUUAUUGUUUUACGGUACAAUUAUAAAUAAUAUCUAGAUUAAGUGAAAGAGAAACUUACGAAAAUAUGAAUUACUUCGAUUAAAGUAGUGUUCAAUGUAUAUACAGUUCAUGUGCUCAAAACUCUGAACAAAUUUGUUUCACUUGACCACCAGAAAACAUACAUCCUCGUCUCAACUAGUAUAAAUUUCGCACUUGGCUGCCUUACUCAGACCUUUUCUCAAAGUAUACUUGUAUGGCCAGUCCAUGAAAUACCACUUUUUCUUUCAUUGAUUUAUAAAUACAUUUAAGGACAUACCUGAUGGUUGAUUUCCAGUAGUUCCCCAUUCUACUAAAGGAAAAGUUUGAAAUAAUUAAUGAUCGAAGGUCAAUGAAAGUAAUGUGUUUAUUUGUCAUAAAAGGAAAAAUCUAUUCUUGGUACUGAACUUCGAAAAUGUAACCAGCAAAAUCUUUAAUAUAAAUGGUUUUCAGUUAUUGUGUCUUUCCUUUUUUCAUAAUUUUGGCCAAGCUAAACUACAGCUUGGAGGGAAGGUAUAUACUAAUUAAAAUGGUGAAAAAAAGAACCACAAGAAUGCUUUGAUUUUGCUCUGGGACAUAUUUAUUUAAAAAAAAUCUAUUUCAUACUAAGGAUACACAACAAAGUAAUUACUACUAUGUCACUGGUCGAAGUAUUUGGUAAUUAAGAUAAUGCAGAGUAAAAAAAGACAUAAAUAAAACUAUAAAACAUCAAAACGAAAUCACGUUUACACUGAAAUUCACUGAAUUACACUGUCUCAUUCACUCGUCGGUCGCCGUAGAUAUUUUCCAAUCGUGAUGUACUAGAUAUGCUUUCGUGUUCAGUCAAAGAGAAUAUUGUUAUUUGGAAAAUGAAACCACGUGUAUCCAUUAUAGGACUACCACAACAUUAGAUCAGCUGUUUUAUGUGACGUCAUCCACGUCACAACACGCGAGGUCAAAUUACCUGUUCAGACGACAAAUUCACAGCGGCGGGAAGUCACCGACUGUCUAUAAGCCUAUUCGAAUAAAAUUGCAGAUUGUAACGAAAUAAAAUAAGGUUUACUCAUUGCUGACAUUUCAGAUGACAUAUCAAAUAAGAGCUGAAGACUUGUAAUAGAUUAUCACACGUUAAUUGAGAGUACAGUGUACAUCAAUAAUUUGUAAAUCUAAUAUCAAUAUUAGAUCUAAUAUCCAUGGCAGAAUGUUGGAAAUACGAGAUGAUAAUAAUAGAUCUAUUCCAUUUCUGAAGAAAUGAGUAAUGUGUAUUUGAUUAUAUAUAUGCAUACACAAUUGGUUAUCAAUUAUCUUGUACAAUCACAGCGUGUACCGUGUACAUUAGACUCACGGAAAGUAUUAUUUCAGCAAACCAAUCACAGCGCCAUUAUCACGGUUUUCAUGAAAGGAAAAACAAAUCGAAAACGAACUUUACAGCACAUCGUAUCAAUAAGCGGUUGACCCAAAUACAAAAAGGUGACUGGGAACAUACUGGAAUGGUUGUUGAAAGGUUUGCAUGGCGCAUUUCACCAUCACGAAGCUACUUCUACAUCUAGAAAGCUAGCUGGUUACAGGCUGAAGUUGCUCUGCGCCCAAUCAACCUGGCACCGCUGGAGGACUUCAAACUUACGUUGACGACAUGACCAAAAGAUCUGCCAAAGCUAUGAAUUUAGCAGCAGCUUACAAAUAUGCACUUUCACACACCAUGCCCCAAUGUGGACAUGCUUGCUGGAGUAAAACUAAAGAACUGCCAGAAUUUAUCAGACUUCCACCAAAAUAUCUAACAGGCAAUUAUCGUGCUCAAAUUACAUUCGAAUAAACAUCAGCUUUAGCCCUGGACCAUAAGUACUUCACACAGCCAGUUUAUUUUUUCCUGAAGCAGCUAAACAGACAUUUUUAAACCAACGAAUGGAGCAUAGGGCUGGUUUCACCGCCCGGCUGUUUCAGCCAAUCUCAUUAUAAUCAGAUCUGAGUUCUUUGCUACCCCUGUGUGAAGCGGUACUAAAGAUCUGAUAUUAAUGAGAUUGGGAACCAACAAAGGGGAACCAAGAGCACAGUUUACGUCGGUAAUGUUUCGGCUGGACAACACGUUUGUCGGGUGAAUGUCCAGCAAAUGUUGGGAUCAGCAAACCUCGUGCACCGAGUAGGACUCACUUGACUUGAAUUGGAAACAGCUUCAUAUUACAGCUAUGCGAGUAUUUAACACCACCGCUUAGCGACCAUAUACAGUCGCAGGUGAUGCAAGAACGUAAUGUGAAUGUGCCAGUGAAGUUUUGACUAUGCCAAACAUACAUAAGAAGAUAAUUCAUUUUGAGCCAUUUCUGUGAAGAUCCGUGGUAGAAUAGAUCUUCAGCAACCCUUGCAUGCCGUAAGAAGCCACCAACGGAAUCGGGUGGUUAGGCUCGCUGACUUGGUUGAUGCAUGUCAUCUUAUCCCAAUUGCGUAGA